rnacentral:rRNA from 1 species
GGGGAAUAUUGCACAAUGGGCGAAAGCCUGAUGCAGCGACGCCGCGUGAGGGAUGACGGCCUUCGGGUUGUAAACCUCUUUCAGCAGGGAAGAAGCGCAAGUGACGGUACCUGCAGAAGAAGCACCGGCUAACUACGUGCCAGCAGCCGCGGUAAUACGUAGGGUGCGAGCGUUGUCCGGAAUUAUUGGGCGUAAAGAGCUUGUAGGCGGUUUGUCGCGUCUGCAGUGAAAAUCCGGGGCUCAACCCCGGACUUGCUGUGGGUACGGGCAGACUAGAGUAUGGUAGGGGAGACCGGAAUUCCUGGUGUAGCGGUGGAAUGCGCAGAUAUCAGGAGGAACACCGAUGGCGAAGGCAGGUCUCUGGGCCAUAACUGACGCUGAGAAGCGAAAGCAUGGGGAGCGAAC